rnacentral:lncRNA from 10 species
GAGCCUGCAGGAGACAUCUAGCCCGCUGUCCAGGGCACCUUUUUUUUUCUCCCUAUAUUUCGGUUGCUCGCGUCUCUUGGUGUGGUUUGCCCACGUCUGCAGCGCCAGGUUCGUGGAGAGCAGGAACCAUGCUGUUUAUUUUCGUCGCCGCAGCCUUCAGCUCAGCGAGGAGCCACCCCUCCUCCGUCUGUUCACUGCGCGCGCCUUUGCUGAGCUGUGAUGCGGGUUGGCGCUCAGUGCAAGGGGCAGAGGCCGCAGUGAGGAAUCCUCCUUUUUUAAAAGCUCCAUCCAGGGAGCGGGAGCAGAGAGAGAAUCCCGGCACCCCGGGGCUUUGCUCUGAGCGAGAGAAUUCUGGUCUUAGGGGAACGGGCUGGGCCCCACCACUCACAUGAGCAGGACUCUGGUCCCCACUUGUUCCUUCGGGGCCCACUCGGGUUGGGCAGAGGGGUUGACCAGGCUGAGGAGAGGGUGUUUGCUGAAAUAGUAAGAGGGUUUAAGACGAAAGAACCGUGAUAAACUGCUCGCAUGAAGACCCCGGAGGCUCUGAGAGGGGCGCAGGGUGUUCUGUGUGUAAAAAACAGCAUUCCUUCUGCGUGGAACAUGCCAACCCUCGUCUGCUUUGACUUUGCAAAACUGCAUGAGACCGCCGGGCGCGGUGGCUCACGCCUGUAAUCCCAGCACUUCAAGAGGCCGAGGCAGACAGAUCACCUGAGGUCAGGAGUUUGAGGCCAGCCUGGCCAGCAUGGUGAAACCCCGUCUCUACUAAAAAUACAAAAAAUCAGCCAGUAAUCCUAGCUACUCGGGAGGCUGAGGCAGGAGAAUCGCUUGAACCCAGGAAGCAGAGGUUGCAGUGAGCCGAGGUCAUGCCAUUGCACUCCAGCCUGGGCUACAAGAGUGAAACUCCGUCUCAAAAAAGAAAAAAAAAAAGAAAAAAAGACUGCAUAUGACUCCCCAGUGAAGCCCUCCCUGAUUGGCCUCUGCAGAAGGCAGCAUGCCCGGGCUUUGGAGUCAGACCUGCAUACAAAUCCUUGUUUUGCCGGUGUGACCUUGCCAAGUCUUCUUUCCUGCAGGACAGAAGGCGGCAGCAGCUCUCCCUGAACUGGCACUCUGGCUUCUCUUGCCCCAGGGUCUGUUUCUGCUCCUUGGACAGCAGGCGCAUGUGGGAACUGUGCCCUCUUCAGCCAUGAGCCCCUGUUCUGCGCACAUCUAGCCCAUCUUCCAGAUGGACAGACAGUCUGUGGUCGUCGCCAAACCCCUGAAUCUGGCCCUGCCCGCAGUCAGAGGGAUGGCAAUUUGUAAGCUACAGACUAUUGCGAAUCAUUCACUUGGAGACUGAACUAAGA